GGGGCAACCUGGCGGCGAGUGGCGAACGGGUGAGUAAUAUAUCGGAACGUACCCUGGAGUGGGGGAUAACGUAGUGAAAGUUACGCUAAUACCGUAUACGAUCUAAGGAUGAAAGUGGGGGAUCGCAAGACCUCAUGCUCCUGGAGCGGCCGAUAUCUGAUUAGCUAGUUGGUAGGGUAAAAGCCUACCAAGGCAUCGAUCAGUAGCUGGUCUGAGAGGACGACCAGCCACACUGGAACUGAGACACGGUCCAGACUCCUACGGGAGGCAGCAGUGGGGAAUUUUGGACAAUGGGCGCAAGCCUGAUCCAGCAAUGCCGCGUGAGUGAAGAAGGCCUUCGGGUUGUAAAGCUCUUUUGUCAGGGAAGAAACGGUGUUUUCUAAUACAGAACGCUAAUGACGGUACCUGAAGAAUAAGCACCGGCUAACUACGUGCCAGCAGCCGCGGUAAUACGUAGGGUGCAAGCGUUAAUCGGAAUUACUGGGCGUAAAGCGUGCGCAGGCGGUUUUGUAAGACUGUCGUGAAAUCCCCGGGCUCAACCUGGGAAUGGCG
rnacentral:rRNA from 1 species